rnacentral:rRNA from 1 species
AGGGUUUGAUCAUGGCUCAGAAUGAACGUUGGCGGCGUGGAUUAGGCAUGCAAGUCGUACGGGUCGGUGUAGCAAUACAACGGCAAGUGGCGAAAGGGAGAGUAACACGUAGAUACCUACCCUCUGGUCGGGGAUACCGCGGCAUAACCGCAAGUAAUACCCGAUAAAAUCUCCGGAUCAAAGGUGUGAUUCCGCCGGAGGAGGGGUCGGCGUUCUAUCAGCUUGUUGGUGAGGUAAUGGCUCACCAAGGCUAAGACGGAUACGGGGUGUGAGAGCAUGCCCCCGCUCACUGGGACUGAGACACUGCCCAGACACCUACGGGUGGCUGCAGUCGAGAAUCUUCGGCAAUGGGCGCAAGCCUGACCGAGCGACGCCGCGUGCGGGAUGAAGGCCUUCGGGUUGUAAACCGCUGUCGAGGGGAAUGAAGUGCAAGUGGGUACUCCCAUUUGUUUGACAGAUCCCUGGAGGAAGCAUGGGCUAAGUUCGUGCCAGCAGCCGCGGUAAGACGAACCAUGUAAACGUUAUUCGGAUUCACUGGGCUUAAAGCGUGCGUAGGCGGCGAUGUUAGUCAGGUGUGAAAGCCCUCAGCCCAACUGAGGAAUUGCGCUUGAUACUGCAUCGCUAGAGAAUGAUAGAGGUGGGUGGAACUGAUGGUGGAGCGGUGAAAUGCGUUGAUAUCAUCAGGAACACCAGUGGCGAAGGCGACCCACUGGGUCAUUUCUGACGCUGAGGUACGAAAGCUAGGGUAGCGAACGGGAUUAGAUACCCCGGUAGUCCUAGCCGUAAACGAUGAGCACUAGAUCGGGGGCCUCCACAGGCUCCUGGUCGUAGCGAAAGUGUUAAGUGCUCCGCCUGGGGAGUAUGGUCGCAAGGCUGAAACUCAAAGAAAUUGACGGGGGCUCACACAAGCGGUGGAGGAUGUGGCUUAAUUCGAGGCUACGCGAAGAACCUUAUCCUGGUCUUGACAUGUUUUAGAACCCGCCCGAAACGGUGGGGUGCCCGCAAGGGAGCUAUUGCACAGGUGCUGCAUGGCUGUCGUCAGCUCGUGUCGUGAGAUGUCGGGUUAAGUCCCUUAACGAGCGAAACCCUUGUCCUUAGUUGCCAGCGCGUCAUGGCGGGAACUCUAAGGAGACUGCCGGUGUUAAACCGGAGGAAGGUGGGGAUGACGUCAAGUCCUCAUGGCCCUUAUGACCAGGGCUGCACACGUCCUACAAUGAUACGCACAAAGGGAUGCAAACUCGUGAGAGCCAGCAAAUCCCAAAAAUCGUAUCCCAGUACGGAUUGCAGGCUGCAACUCGCCUGCAUGAAGCCGGAAUCGCUAGUAAUCGCGGGUCAGCACACCGCGGUGAAUGUGUUCCCGAGCCUUGUACACACCGCCCGUCAAGCCACGAAAGUGGGGGGCAUCCGAAGUCGCCGAGGUAACCGCAAGGGGCUAAGCGCCGAAGAUGAACUCCGUGAUUGGGACUAAGUCGUAACAAGGUAGCCA